AGCCUGUGAUGAGUUGCCAUGCUAAUACCGACACAGCAGUGUAGAGCUGAGAUGCUCAGUGCUGGCGGUGGCUGAGUGUAACUGACUUACUGAGGCUG